CGGCAGGUCACUGGCCUCACAGCGCGGCCUCCCCGGGCGCUCCUGGCCCGCGCGGCCGGCUCCCCCUGGCGGCCUCCAGCUGUCAGGCUUCCCCCGCGGGCUGUCGCGGCUGCUGCCGCCGCCGCCGCAGGCGCGGAGCACCCGGGCUGGGGCGGCGGCUGCGCGCGCCCUCCCCCGCAGCGGGGACGUCAGGCCUCUCUUAGACUCAAUCAACGCUCUGGAAGAGGCGUCCCAGUGCCUCACCCUUCUCCAGUCCAGCCUCCUCCCGCUCACAGACACCAGGGAGUCCAGAAAAGAAAAUGAGAGAAGAGGACGGUCCUCAGGGAUCUGGCUCUUCUGCUCCGCCGGUAAAC